ensembl:lncRNA
ACUCCCUCCUUUUUCCUUCUCUUUGCUGGAGGUAUAAAUAGGACUCCUAAUAAAAUACUAAUUAAUCUCUGGUGACAAAAUCAAAGAAACACAUCUGCAUUGCUGAGAGGAGCGAUGGAGGAAAGGAAAAGGGGAAGACAGGAAGAGGAGGGGGGGGGGUAAGGAGAGGGAAAUGCAACGAGGUUAAUGAUAAUGAGAAGGAAAAAGAGUGCAGGACCGAGUCAAAUGUUUGAGGAUGUUCUGAGAAGAUACGACUUUUAAAUGACAUAUAAGAAUAAAUUGUGACGGAGAGUGAGGGACGAGUGGGAGAUUGUUGCUCUACAGACGAAGAAAAAAGGGGAGAUUGAUGUGUAACGUCAUUAAAAGAUGUGAUGGAGUGAAGAAGAAGUUUCAAACUCCUGAAAAGGAUUAAUGUAAAAAAAGAAAGAAAUCUGCAUAACUUUGUCAUAUAUUAAUCAUCUCAGCUCAGGUUUCAGCCGGUUGGACAGCGACUCAGUAUCAGUUCCUUCUGCUGAAUCAUUCAGUCCUCGCAGUCAAAACACAUCAUUCUACUCAUCGCUUCAGGAAAGAAGUCCCUCCUCUACGCAUUAUUCAUGCAAAACUGUAGAAUCCUGGGGAGAUCAAUUCCAAACGUUCAAAUCUCACAUGUUUGCCAACAUAUUUAUGAUUAUGGGUCACUGCUGCAUUCAAAGAUGAACCUGUUUGUCCCUUGAAGGUCCAAGAGCUGAAAGUCUUCAGCCAAAAGUACCGAACGAAUACAGACUGAUUAUUUGGUGAAAACGCUUAAUAAGGACGGACUUUAGGGACUUUGGUAGCAAACAUUUUUCAGAAUCUAUUGACAGAAAUAGAAUAUAAUACGGCUUCAUUAAAAAAAGAUCUUGUGUGAUGUCAUACGAAGCGUGAGAAGAUACGCCGCUUGAGUCCAUUCCCCCCAGUGGGACACCAGUCCUCUGCAGGGAGACCGAAACGGACAAAUCCAGGAGAGAUCUCGGUGAUGUUAUGAAAGUGCUGAAGAAUCACCUUCUCAUCUCAACGAACCGCUUCCCUCCACGAUAGGAAGUAAAAGUCCGAAUGAUGACGAUGGUAAUACACCCCAUGCAUGAAAUUAGACCAAAAGUCUGGUUGGACUCUUUCAGAGGACAUCAGGCGUCCAGAAGAAGCAACUCGCCUCCGGAGGGCCACAUCCAUUCCCUCAGGUUGGGAGCGCGACGGGUUUCACUUCACAGGUCCUGGAAUUACUGAGCUUCAGAGAGACUUUCACUCGCUGGAUAAAAAGAAGUCACAGCCCACCUGUGGCCCCCGCAGCACCAAAAUCAGAGCCACCGCACGAACCGUCACCGGCUUCCUGCACAACGAGGGGAGGCACUCGGGGGGUUUUCACUCCGAACAAAGGAACACUUCUCACUCGGAGCGGCACGCCGCCAUGAAGGAAAAGUCGCUUCAAGUUCCUCAUGUCCGCAGGGGAACAACUACCCGCAGCUGACCUUCUGAACGCAAUCGUGACCUCUGACCUCCCUGUAGGGAGAGCGAAGGAAAAGAAACGCACGCUCUGGGUUUUAUCAUCUACAUUACAGUGCAUGUGUUUGUUUAAAUGCUAUUUAAUAAAAACACAUUAUUAUGAUGUUUGCUCACGGGUGAUUCUCCGUUGCUGAAGUUGCACAUAAAGUGAUUGUGGAAGUCACAGUUAUUUUUAUUGCAGCUUUGGAAAUUUACUGACACGGUAAAACUGUGACACACAUAUUAAACACCAGACAGAGGCAGCAAAUAUGAGAAUUAUGUCCUCCACAGCUUUACCCCCCCCCCCCUGCAGUGCGGCCUGACCGCCGACAGGGGGCGUUUUGUCCCCAUUUGCAGACUUCUCCACUGCGUCUCCAGGCUUCAAAAGUAUUAGAUCCCCAAAGCAUAAAUAAAUGAGAGGAAGAGGGAGACGGGGAAGAACCGCACACCUCUAUGGCUGAAACACGGACGCCUCGUGCACGCAGUCAGGAGGAUUAUUGAAAAAAAAGACUAAAUUUACAUGAAAUAGUGAAGGUGAGGAAAGAAACUGAUUUGAGGCCACUUUUAAUGAUCUGUUAGUUCCCAAAGAAACAUCACGUUUCCAUAAAAAAGGAACCCAGAGUCAUUAUGAAAAGGUACUGAUCCAUUUAAAAACCAAUUGCCCCACUACUGUGUGAGGAAUAACCAUUAAAACACAACUAGUGCUGCUGGAACUCGCAAUCAAUUCAAUUCAUUCCAUAACGUCAUUUAAUUAAUCACAAUUUAAGAACAACCAGAAAUAUAUUUAAAAAACAAAUGCAGCUUUUUCCUUAGAAUAAAACAUACCAAGGACCAAUGAGCUCUAAAGGUCCAACCCCCACGGUUCCCACAGAUGAAGCAAAGAAUAUUUUAGAGGGCUAAAAUUAUUAAAAGAAAAAAUAUACUGAAUCACAGCGAACAAACAACCAACACAACAUUUAUAUUAUAUUACUGAUGUGAUGAACCCACGGCACCAGCAGCCCCCCUCCCGACGCAACUCAUCCGGCACUUCAAAGUGAGAACCAGGGGGGGGGGAUUUAUCACAAACAUCCAACUAACAACAACAAUACUAAUAAUACUCAGGAGUCAUUUCUAAGGAUGUGUUUACCUUUCUGCAGCAGCCUUCUUUUCAGUAUGGCCUGAAGAAAAAGCAUCUUGCCCCCCCACACGGCUCCAGACUGGAUGUCUGAUUCUCCUCAUGGAAGAGCAGAGGAGGAAGAGGGAGGCACAACUUGUGUCUGCAUGCGCGCCUCCCUCCCGCUCUCUCUCUCUCUCUCUCUCUCUCUCCCUUACUCUCUCAAAUGCCCCCCCUCCUCCCCCCUCUCGCCUCCCCACCUGAAGACACCAGCUGAACUAAGUGUGUUUUCUUAACGCUCACAGAAAUCAGAGUCCAUCUCAGUAAUGGACUUUAAUCACUCUGUUCUCAGUCUGCUUGUGUUCUGACACAGCUGAUAUUCCUGUUUCCCCGUCUUCUCCUCCUCGUUUUUCUUCGUGGGUUAAUUUAAUUACAGGGAUCUCUCUCUCUCUCCCUUUCUUGCACUCGCUGUUUCUCUCCUGAUUAAGCAAAAAAAAAUUAUAGCUGAAAGCCUUCGGGACUUUUGAUGACCUAGUUUUUCCUUCUCCUUUUGCUUGAGAGUCUGUGACUUGUGGGGCUGUAUUUGUGUAGUAUAUAUGUGUAUGUGUGUAUGUGUACGUGUAUGUGUGUGUGUGGGGGGUGAAUUUGUAGCCAAGAGAUGAAAGUUUCCAACUUCAGGUCAUGACUUAUUUCUCGGGCUCCCCUGUCGGGUGGUGAUCACGAGGUGAGCGACGGCGCUUGAAGUGACAUGAAACCGAGAAAUGCGUUCUCCCUCGACACACACACACACACACACACACACACACACACACACACACACACAGUGAGUCUCUACAGGGGUCUCCGCUGGAGGAGCAUGCCUCUGCAACGGGAACGGAAAGAGGGAAAGAUGAGACAGAAAACCUCCCACAGGUUUGGACGGUGAACUUCAGCACCCUGGACAGCAACUGCUGAACCCCCCCCAACAUUCACUGUGCAGGAAGUCGAGGUUACACACUUGUUUCCACAUGAUUAACACACACAGGCUAAAUGAUGCACACACUCAAAGACCCCUGCUGAGUCCUUGGGGGGGCGGAGGGGGUGGAGCUGUGCCACUGCACCAUCAGCGAGCGCUUAAAGGUUCCGGUGAGAGCUCAGCGUCGGUUUCGGCCUGAAACAACCCUGUUGACCUCUUAGAGAUACUCAAGUUUAGGAGACUGCAAUCCUUUUUGGCCUGGGUUUGAAUGCGGCGCAUCGCCCUGUAGCGUCGUUGUACCCAAAGCCUAGCGUGGUAUCCUUCCAGUUGCUGCACGUACCCGUUAGCCCGAGAGGCCGGAUGCCACAGUUCAUCUGGAGAAAGACUCAAUGAAUGCAGGUGAACCAUCUGAUCACAGCAGGUAGCUUCCAGGCAUGUGGGACUUCACAUCCUCCAUAAACACCGGUUGGGUGACAUAGAGGUUGGACAGGGAUGCUUGUGUUAUCCACAUGUAGAGGUACUGUCGCGCUCGACUGCAAGAACUGUCACAGGAAAAAAGUUUUUACAAAUUUCUUUCUCAGGGAAGAAAUCUUUUCAUGUCUUCAUGGUGAAAUAUCUGAGGUGAGGAGAACACAAAAUAUGAAAGCUACCAGAGAAGCUUUUGAUGUGAUAUCUGCUAUUGCACACAGGCACACUGGAGAAUGGUGAUAUAUACUGUAUAUAUAUAUAUCGCACAAUACAUAAUUUAUCAUCAAAAAGUAAGUUCUGAUUAAAAACUCACCCCUCUGUCCGAUGCAGGCUCAUUAGAAAGAUAAUGUCCACCCGGGACUACGAAAUGAGCGACCCAUGGUUUUGAAAAGUAAAGUAAAUGCAGUCAAACAUGCAGUCUCUCUAGUGACCAACAGGGGGUGAUGUGGAUAGAAGUCUAUAUAGUGCUACGUAACAACGCUACAUUACAACAUAACAAUGUAACAACGCUACAUUACAACAUAACAAUGUGACAACGCUACAUUACAACAUAACAAUGUAACAACGCUACAUUACAACAUAACAAUGUAACAACGCUACAUUACAACAUAACAAUGUAACAACGCUACAUUACAACAUAACAAUGUGACAACGCUACAUUACAACAUAACAAUGUAACAACGCUACAUUACAACAUAACAAUGUAACAACGCUACAUUACAACACAAAGUAACAACGUCAGGUUUCUCUCCUCCUUGUGAGGGAAUUCCACUCAUGAUUUAAUCAGUUUUAUUGCUCGGCAAUGACCACGUAGAUGAAGUCCGGCCAACGCAUUGAAAGAAGGUUUGUUUCAUGGAUCUUGGUUCCUGUAUGAUACAAUUAAUCCUUUACAUUCAGCUGCGAGCACAAGUUGUUGUUUUCAAUUCCGCUCGCUAAUUCCCUCAAUUCUGCUUCAUUCAUUUUUUACUUGAAGCUGGUCGCGGAGCUGCUGUCACCAGGAGAAGAGUGAAAAAAAGAUCUCCCCAUCAGAGGGAAAAGGUCUUUUCAUCUCUGCCUGCGUCAACAGGGAACCGUCUGAAGUGAGAGGGAUGUGGAAGUUUGCCGUCACCGACUCCUGCUGUGUUCUUUUCAGCUUGACCUCAAAUCACAAGCUAGAAAAUUGGUAGUUUGACGUUUUUCUCUCUCGGCCGCUGAAGUCGAAUGUAACUCGCAGAAUGUUCCUGUGAAUUAUUGAGCUUGUGUGCACAUGGUACACAAGACAUGACCAAUAAAUAUGUAAAAAGGGGAUUAACAGAUCUAUCAUUUAAAGGAACAGUUAUAAUUCAAUGCGGUACAGAUGUUUGCACGAAGCAAUCUCUCUCUCUCUCUCUCUCUCUCUCUCUCUCUCUCUCUCUCUCUCUCUCUCUCUCACACCGACCCACAUGGUGUGACCAGUCGAUUAAAUCAAACGUUUGUCUGACAGCUUCCUACGUAGCCACUCACUCAGUCAUGAGCUUAUUUCCGUUGGACAAACAAGACCCCUUGGUGUGAUCUAAUUGGACGAGUGGGCCUCCAGAUGUGAUAUCAUUGGGCCUCUUGUCAACAAACACUCAGGACACAUUAGAGGCGCCACAACCAGGUCGCCAAAGACAAUCACGAGCGUUCAUGUAACCCUGUGAUGUUUAAAUCACAGCGUGUGAUGGGAGAAAAACUCACGUAAUAAACAACUUAUGAGUCUUAUUCAACACAAGUUGGAAGCAAAUGGACUUGUCGACAGUGUAUUACACAACAGUUUAUGACCGAAGACUUCUGGAGCGUCGACUGUCUUGGUCUGAGAUUGUCCCGGAGAACCCGAUGUUCCCGCUCCCUCCUCCCAUUGGCGUUAAUGGACUCGGACUCCUCUCAGAAGCGUCUCUGAAUGCGAGGACGUGUCUCUCGGCCUGAGGAGGACUCACCACGUGUCUUUGUUCUACUUCCAGAGAGGAUCGGCCGGGUUUACUCACUUUCUUCUCUCCGUUGCACCUCUUUCACUGAGCAGAACCCCCUUUACUCACGUUUGGAAGUUUACUCUGGGAAUUCAGCUGUUUCUUGUUAUUCUGAUACUUUGCAAUGUUACCAAUAUAAAAUACCAAAUUCAAGACAAAGGCAAAGUAUGAGGCGUUUUGUUUGUGUGUUUCUCUUCUGCCCUCUUCCAACUCCGUUAUUCUUCAGCCUUUUAUUAUUUUAUUAACAAACAUGGCGAGUAGCACAGCGCUGCUUGUCCACUGUCACUGGCACACAUAAUAAGUGCGUGUCGGAUGAGUCCUGCCACCGAUAAUAAGGAUCCCACACACACACACACACACACACACACACACCGAAAUAAAAACAUUCCCAGUGAGUUCUGCUCCACUUAAUUAGGACCGUGGACACACACAAGAGUCCUGCCGCAGUUAAUGAAGCAUGCUGGGUAAGAUUCUGGGGGCUCAUUAUUUUCAGCUUUCCCCUUUUCAAAGGACGUAAAAAAAUGAAUUCUUGGUCGCAUUAGACGGAUUUCUGUUAUUGAAAGGGAAGUAAUCUGUAAUGGAUGAAGAUCAGAUCAGAAGAUGCUGUUGCGAGUGGGAGGAGCUAAAGCUGGAGGACGAGGAAAAGCUGACGGGAACAUUUCAGACUCCAAAAGAAUGUGAGAUUCGGGGGCCGGUUGCACUGAAGCUGAUACGCAAUUACAAAAUACGACGCGUUGAACUCCUCCGUACCGAUUUGUUUGAGUGUUACUCGUGCGGGAAGGAUGGAGGGGGGGGGUUCGAUCAGCACUGGGGGGGCUCACAGACAGGGGCAAUAAACCAGAGUGUGAGACGCGUGUACAGCUGCAGGCUGUUGUUUGACAAAGCGGAGAGAUGCUGGAGAGACUCCCGACUGGUUGAGAAGGAGUGUGAGAGCUUCAUCAGAUCCUCAAAGUGAAGGAGGAUAAAUCUCCAGCAGAAAGCAAUGAAUUCAUGUAUUUAAUACCCAGUAGACGUUGGAUAGUUUUGAGUCCAGAUGAGAGUCUUUCUCAUCUGAAAUAAUACAUUUUAAACAACGAAGCCUAAUAUGCAUCAUGUUUUGUAAUGCGAAAACUGUAAAUUUGGGAAGAACUCGACCCUUUGAAAGAAGUUGAGACAAAUAUCAUCAAUGGUAGAGAAAAGUGUCUCAAUGAGCCGUCUUCUUACUUUAGUGCAGCUGAGUAUUGUGAAGAAGGUGCUGGAGGAGAAGUCGUUUGUCAGAGCAGAGAUUUCAUGACUUUAUGUAACUGAUAAUAAUAGUAAUAGUAAUAGUACUGAUAAUAAUAGUACUAGUAAUAGUACUGAUAAUAACAGUACUAGUAAUAGUAAUAGUACUGAUAAUAAUAGUACUAGUAAUAGUAAUAGUACUGAUAAUAAUAGUACUAGUAAUAGUAAUAGUACUGAUAAUAAUAGUACUAGUAAUAGUACUGAUAAUAACAGAUGCGUCUCCUGAAGAACAAGUGAGAUUUGAAAGGAGCCCAAACGGCGUCUCGGUGCUGCGUUUGAAGUCGCUGGUCCUCCUCUCCGGCUACAAAGACCAGACGUCUGCUCCACUCCGUCCCACGUCUGCUUUCAAUACUCCCAGCAUGCAUCUGUGCGACCUCGUGACCUCGUCUCUGCUGCGCUGCACUCCGACGCUGAGCUAUGAUCCGUAAUUACAGAAUCAUUGGGCGUAUUAGACGGAACGUUUCCCCACUCGGGAUGAUUGUGUCAGCACUCUACUGGAGGACUUCUUCCCGUCCCCCCUUUCCUCUUCCCUCCCCCGUAAUGAUCCUCACUCUCUCUCCCCCAUCAG